GUCCACUGUUGCUGUGACAACAGGAUUGGAGAACAGUGUGAUUAAAACAAAACAACCUCUCCCAAAAAUAACCACCAAACCCAACAGAAGAACAUUCUGCUGGCCCCACUAAAUCCAAAUAACCAGACAAUAACAACAUGAUGCCAUUCCAACUUAAUGAAAAUGAAUCAUGCAUUUUAUGUGGUGAGAACAGUUUCCACUGAAGAAGAGUCCUUCCUUCUGUGCUCUGCAGCAUAUUCAGCAUUGUUUGUGUUGCCUCUAUAAAGGAAUGAAGUUUUGCAGUGACAGUUUUUAAUACAAAUCUACUCUAAUGCUGCUUUGGAGGAUGAUUCCCUGUCUGGGAGAAGGCAUCAAUAUUUAAAACAAGGCAUCAUUUUCCCUGCAUUUGGAAGAAUUUAUACAGCCUAAAAGACAGUGACAUUUGAUAAUGCUUUUCCCAGUGCAACCACUGAGGAUCUAUAGAGAGUCCUCUUUCUGAGACCUACAUCUGCUGAGUAUGAGAUUUAUGGGAUGCAUUUGUCCAUUUUCUAAAGGGUUCAUUAAGAAGAGACACUGAAAUAAACUAAAUAUGCUGUUUAUGUGAUCUACUCCAUUUCACUUUUUUCACACAAUCUUGAAAAAUAUUGUUUCACUGCCUGGUUCUCUGUUGACCUUAGAUUACUUCUUACUCUGUUGACCUUAGAUUAGUUAUUUACAACUGCAUUUAUAUUUCAUGCAAUGGAAAUUGAACCAAACAAGUUUCAAGCUGUAAAUAUAAAGGAAGAGGACAGUGUA
rnacentral:lncRNA from 13 species